rnacentral:lncRNA from 1 species
AUUUGAAGUCAUUUAACUUUCUUCAUACUUAAUGGAAGGAAAGCAUUCUAACAUUUGUUAUGCCACAUAGCAUGGUUAAAUUGUUCCUAUAGGCCUUUUGUGCAUAUUGUUCGAAGUUUAUCAUGUUAGAAGUUUCUUAAUCUGGAAUCCCUGGGUCACUAGCAGUUCUGUUUGUGAACUUCAGAGAGACUUCAAGAUUCCCUAAAAUGUGUACUAGAAUUUGUACACAUACAUACUUUCCUAAAGAGGGGAUUUGUUGUAGUUAAUCUGUUUCUGUAUAACAAAUUAUGCCAAAUUUAGCAGCUUAAAACAAUAUUCAUGUAUUGUCUCACAGUUUCUGUGGGUUGGGAAUCCAGCUGCCGCCUAGCCUGGUCCUGUAGCUUUGCCUCUCACAGGGCUGCAGUCAUCUCAAGGUGACUGGGGAAGAUUCACUUCCUAGCCCACCUGUUUGUUGGCAGGAUUCAGUUCCUUGUGGGUUCUUGGCCUCAGUUUCUUGUGAGCUGUUGGCUGGAGGCCUCCUUUGCUUCCUUGACACAUGGACCUCUUCAUGGGGCAUCUCACACAAGGUAGCUUGCUUCAUAAAAGGAGAGCAAGUAGGAGGGCAAGAGACAGCACUAGUAAAACAGAAGUCAUAGUCUUUGGUGAUGUAAUAACACAAGAGACAUCCCUUCACUUUUGUCACAUUCUUCUCAUUAGAAGCAAGUUGCUAAGUCCAGCCAGAACUCAAGGGAAGGAGAUUAAACAGGACUGGGAAUAUGAAGAGGUGGGUAUUAUUGGGAGUCCUGUCAG